AGUAGACUCAUAUGAGAAGUUUGUUUACUUGAAGCAGAAGAGGUGGCCCAAAAUGGUAACAGAAAGAAACCCCACAGAUGGGGUGCCUAUCCUCAAAGCACAAUAGAAACAAGAGUAAAAACACAAAUGUGGCUUGAGGGAUAAGGAUACAAGGGAGGCAGAGAGAAAAAGGGGGUGGAAGAGCUUGAGGAAGUGUUAAAAGCAAUGGUGAUUGGUGGGUUGGGUCCUUGUGCUACAAGGGAAAAAGGUGUGACAGAGACAUUGCACCAAGAGGAAAUGUGAUAUGCAUGAUUGGCCUGCAAGGGAAUUGAAACCGUACCAGGAACACUGAUCUAAACUUCACCCUUGUCUAAGCAAACCUACUACUUCUCUCUCUUGCCCUCCACUCUAUUUCCUCCCCAUUCUCUUCCUAGCAUGAGCCACACCCACUUCUCCAAAUGGGGUGGCUCCAAUCCCUCUUCUCUCCAUUGAAGAAGCUCUGGUUUCGUCUGCACUCAGCUCAGAGGAAGAGUAGAGGGAUAUACAUUCUAUAUGAGGACGUCAAGUCCUGCCCAUAUGAAGAUGUGCAUGUACUAUGGUCGAUUCUGGUGGAAUCACAUUCACCUUCUCCGCCAUCAAAACAAUGAAGGUUCUCAUGCACAGAGACAUCCCAGGAAUGAGAGAUUUCCAUUCUGAUCAUGUACAUACGAUAUUUAAAUGUUCUACACACUAUGAAAUGGUUUGUCCUCCUCCUUUACUUUCUUGUGAUCCAAGCUAGGUUUCAGAAUUUGAGUUUCCUAAUCUUUAUAGAAGGUUGGAUCUGGGUUCAAGCGUCUGUGUAAACUAUGACUUUAUUUAAAGAAAAUUCGGGAUGAGUAAUUCCCCUUCUCUUUA